rnacentral:rRNA from 1 species
UACGUAGGGUGCAAGCGUUGUCCGGAAUUAUUUGGGCGUAAAGAGCUCGUAGGCGGUCUGUCGCGUCGGCUGUGAAAUCCCGGAGCUCAACUCCGGGUCUGCAGUCGAUACGGGCAAACUGGAGUACUGCAGGGGAGACUGGAAUUCCUGGUGUAGCGGUGAAAUGCGCAGAUAUCAGGAGGAACACCUGUGGCGAAAAGCGGCUCACUGGACCACAACUGACGCUGAGGCGCGAAAGCUAGGGUAGCAAACGGG